rnacentral:rRNA from 1 species
AUUGAACGCUGGCGGCAUGCUUUACACAUGCAAGUCGAACGGUAACAGGUUAAGCUGACGAGUGGCGAACGGGUGAGUAAUGCAUCGGAACGUGCCCGGUCGUGGGGGAUAACACAGCGAAAGCUGCGCUAAUACCGCAUACGAUCUGAGGAUGAAAGCGGGGGACCGUAAGGCCUCGCGCGAUCGGAGGGGCCGAUGUCAGAUUAGGUAGUUGGUGGGGUAAAGGCUCACCAAGCCGACGAUCUGUAGCUGGUCUGAGAGGACGACCAGCCACACUGGGACUGAGACACGGCCCAGACUCCUACGGGAGGCAGCAGUGGGGAAUUUUGGACAAUGGGCGCAAGCCUGAUCCAGCAAUGCCGCGUGCAGGAAGAAGGCCUUCGGGUUGUAAACUGCUUUUGUACGGAGCGAAAAGGCUCUCUCUAAUACAGGGGGCUCAUGACGGUACCGUAAGAAUAAGCACCAGCUAACUACGUGCCAGCAGCCGCUGUAA